GGCCUACCAUGGUUUUAACGGGUAACGGGGAAUUAGGGUUCGAUUCCGGAGAGGGAGCCUGAGAAACGGCUACCACAUCCAAGGAAGGCAGCAGGCGCGCAAAUUACCCAAUCCCGACACGGGGAGGUAGUGACAAUAAAUAACAAUACGGGGCUCAUUUGGGUCUCGUAAUUGGAAUGAGUACAAUUUAAAUCUCUUAACGAGGAACAAUUGGAGGGCAAGUCUGGUGCCAGCAGCCGCGGUAAUUCCAGCUCCAAUAGCGUAUAUUAAAGUUGUUGCAGUUAAAAAGCUCGUAGUUGAACUUCGGGGUUCACCCAUUGGUCAGGCUUAAUUGUCUGUACUGGUGAGAUGAGUCUCUACCUUCUGAGGAACUUUCAUGCCAUUUAUUUGGGGUGAGCGGAAAUCAGGACUGUUACUUUGAAAAAAUUAGAGUGUUUAAAGCAGGCUAACGUCUGAAUACAUUAGCAUGGAAUAAUGAAAUAGGACGGAUUGAUUCUAUUUCGUUGGUUUCUAGGAUCACCGUAAUGAUUAAUAGGGAUAGUUGGGGGCAUUAGUAUUCAAUUGUCAGAGGUGAAAUUCUUGGAUUUAUUGAAGACUAACUACUGCGAAAGCAUUUGCCAAGGAUGUUUUCAUUAAUCAAGAACGAAAGUUACGGGAUCGAAGACGAUCAGAUACCGUCGUAGUCUUAACCAUAACUAUGCCGACUAGGGAUCGGACGCAGUUAAUUUUAUAUGACGUGUUCGGCACCUUACG
rnacentral:rRNA from 1 species